rnacentral:rRNA from 1 species
AUUGAACGCUGGCGGCAGGCCUAACACAUGCAAGUCGAACGAGCGGCGGACGGGUGAGUCAUGUCUGGGAACCUGCCCGAUGGAGGGGGAUAACUACUGGAACCGGUAGCUAAUACCGCAUACCAUCAGAUGUACCCAGAUGUGAUUAGCUUGUUGGUGGGGUAAAGGCUCACCUAGGCGACGAUCCCUAGCUGGUCUGAGUGGAUGAUCGGCCACACGGGAACGGGGACACGGGCCAGACUAGUACGGGAGGCGGAAGUGGGGAAUAUUGCACAAUGGGGGCAAGCUGGAUGCAGCCAUGCCGCGUGUAUGAAGAGGGCCUGAGGGUUGUAAAGUACUUUGAGCGGGGAGGCGUUACCCGCAGAAGAAGCACCGGCUAACUCCGUGCCAGCAGCCGCGGUAAUAC